UACAGAGGUGGCAAGCGUUGGUCGGAAUUACUGGGCGUAAAGGGCGCGUAGGCGGCUUGGUCAGUCCCGUGUGAAAUCCCUCGGCUCAACUGAGGAACUGCACGGGAAACUGCCUGGCUUGAGUUCGGGAGAGGGAAGCGGAAUUCCGGGUGUAGCGGUGAAAUGCGUAGAUAUCUGGAGGAACACCGGUGGCGAAGGCGGCGUUCUGGACUGCAACUGACACUGAGGAACGAAAGCCAGGGGAGCAAACGGG
rnacentral:rRNA from 1 species